UACGUAGGGUGCAAGCGUUGUCCGGAAUUAUUGGGCGUAAAGAGCUCGUAGGCGGUUUGUCGCGUCUGCUGUGAAAACUCGGGGCUUAACUCCGGGCCUGCAGUGGGUACGGGCAGACUAGAGUGCGGUAGGGGAGACUGGAAUUCCUGGUGUAGCGGUGAAAUGCGCAGAUAUCAGGAGGAACACCGGUGGCGAAGGCGGCGACCUGGGUCGAUACUGACGCUGAGGUGCGAAAGCGUGGGGAGCAAACAGG
rnacentral:rRNA from 1 species